rnacentral:rRNA from 1 species
ACUCCUACGGGAGGCAGCAGUCGGGAAUUUUGGGCAAUGGGCGAAAGCCUGACCCAGCAACGCCGCGUGAAGGAUGAAGUCUUUCGGGAUGUAAACUUCGUAAGAAUAGGAAGAAUAAAUGACGGUACUAUUUGUAAGGUCCGGCUAACUACGUGCCAGCAGCCGCGGUAAU